UUACGGCCACAUCACGUCGAAACACCGGUUGCCGUACGAUCACCGCCGUUAAGCAACGUCGAGCAUGGUCAGUACCUAGAUGGGUGACCGUUUUGGAAUACAAGGUGCUGCU